rnacentral:rRNA from 1 species
CUGAGAGGAAGGUCCCCCACAUUAGAACUGAGACACGGUCCAAACUCCUACGGGAGGCAGCAGUGAGGAAUAUUGGUCAAUGGGCGCUAGCCUGAACCAGCCAAGUAGCGUGAAGGAUGACUGCCCUAUGGGUUGUAAACUUCUUUUAUAUGGGAAUAAAGUGCAGUAUGUAUACUGCUUUGCAUGUACCUUAUGAAUAAGGAUCGGCUAACUCCGUGCCAGCAGCCGCGGUAAUACGGAGGAUCCGAGCGUUAUCCGGAUUUAUUGGGUUUAAAGGGAGCGUAGGCGGGUUGUUAAGUCAGUUGUGAAAGUUUGCGGCUCAACCGUAAAAUUGCAGUUGAUACUGGCAUCCUUGAGUACAGUAGAGGUAGGCGGAAUUCGUGGUGUAGCGGUGAAAUGCUUAGAUAUCACGAAGAACUCCGAUUGCGAAGGCAGCCUGCUGGACUGUAACUGACGCUGAUGCUCGAAAGUGUGGGUAUCAAACAGGAUUAGAUACCCUGGUAGUCCACACAGUAAACGAUGAAUACUCGCUGUUUGCGAUAUACAGUAA